rnacentral:tRNA from 1 species
UAGCCUAGUGGUAAGGCUAUGGAUCGCCAAUUCGGAGACGGCGGGUUCGAUUCCCGU